AGCGAACGCUGGCGGCAGGCCUAACACAUGCAAGUCGAGCGCCCAGCAAUGGGAGCGGCAGACGGGUGAGUAACGCGUGGGGAUGUGCCCAAUGGUGCGGAAUAACCCAGGGAAACUUGGAUUAAUACCGCAUGUGCCCUUCGGGGGAAAGAUUUAUCGCCAUUGGAUCAACCCGCGUCUGAUUAGCUAGUUGGUGAGGUAAAGGCUCACCAAGGCGACGAUCAGCAGCUGGUCUGAGAGGAUGAUCAGCCACACUGGGACUGAGACACGGCCCAGACUCCUACGGGAGGCAGCAGUGGGGAAUAUUGGACAGUGGGCGCAAGCCUGAUCCAGCCAUGCCGCGUGAGUGAUGAAGGCCUUAGGGUCGUAAAGCUCUUUCGCCGGUGAAGAUAAUGACGGUAACCGGAGAAGAAGCCCCGGCUAACUUCGUGCCAGCAGCCGCAGUAACAC
rnacentral:rRNA from 1 species